GAUGGCGGCAGAUCCAUCCCACGAUUGAAAUCAGUUCUAUGAAUGCACUGAAGUUUUCAAUUUGACAACAUGGUCGAUGCACUUCAUUAUAUCUGAAAUGAGUUAGGAACUUGCUAUCAACCCCUUGUUUAUGGCUGUAAAUUUGCAAAAGAUAAUAAUUUUGGCUAGUAAGUACAAGUAUUUGGUGAUGUAUAUCCUUGCUCAUUUUCUUAAUCUGCAAAUAAACCAAGUAGAUUUGUUUGAUGUAUAUACUUGAUAACUUUCUUAAGCUGCAAAAGGAGCCAAACUAGCAGUGUCGUUUUAUGGCUGUAAAUGCCAUUUUUGGUUUUGCUUCCAUGAUGAGCAGGUCUAGUCAGUAGAAUUUGUCUGUGUAUAUCUCUAACCACUUUAGUUGUUUGUGAAUCUAUCUAUAGUUUGGUGGAUGGGAAUUAUCUGCUUGGCCGUGAAUGCCAAGUUGUUCAUUCAAAUAGCAUUCUGAACUCAGAACAACUCUGAACUAGUUGUGCACUGCCUUGAUUUUUAGUUUCUUGUACAGAGGUUUUUGUCAGUACGUGAUAUGUAGAGCUAUUCCUGAAGUAAGAUGUUUAAAGAUUAAUUGUACAUAACACAAAUCUUUGAUAGUUCUGUUUUGUUGCGUUUCUUUGCUUCAGAAACUGUGGAUUUCUUGCUCUGUCCUGCAAAAGGACCACAUUUAUUUUCUCCUUCAAUCUAUAGCAUCAGUUGCUUGCUUGCUUGGCCAAUGAAAUGAGGUUGCUGGGCUCAAACAUAUGCGACUUUGAUGGAGUGGCCAAAAUGCUUUGGUGGCUGUUGGGUAUUGUCAUGUGCUUUUGAACAGGUUUUAAUUAUGUUGUAUGAGAUAUGCUAAAAAAUUAUGUUGUAUGAGAUGUGAAGGUUGUAAUGUGUUUUUAGAAUAUUUAUGUGCUGAUC